rnacentral:rRNA from 1 species
UACGUAGGGUGCAAGCGUUAAUCGGAAUUACUGUGCGUAAAGCGUGCGCAGGCGGUUUUGUAAGUCUGAUGUGAAAUCCCCGGGCUCAACCUGGGAAUUGCAUUGGAGACUGCAAGGCUAGAAUCUGGCAGAGGGGGGUAGAAUUCCACGUGUAGCAGUGAAAUGCGUAGAGAUGUGGAGGAACACCGAUGGCGAAGGCAGCCCCCUGGGUCAAGAUUGACGCUCAUGCACGAAAGCGUGGGGAGCAAACAGG